GAUGAACGCUGACAGAAUGCUUAACACAUGCAAGUCGACUUGAAGCAACUUCGGUUGUGGAAAGUGGCGGACGGGUGAGUAACGCGUAAAGAACUUGCCCUUCAGUCUGGGACAACCAUUGGAAACGAUGGCUAAUACCGGAUAUUAUGGAACUCUCGCAUGGGGGGAUCAUGAAAGCUAUAUGCGCUGAAGGAGAGCUUUGCGUUCCAUUAGCUAGUUGGUGAGGUAACGGCUCACCAAGGCGACGAUGGAUAGCCGGCCUGAGAGGGUGAUCGGCCACAAGGGGACUGAGACACGGCCCUUACUCCUACGGGAGGCAGCAGUGGGGAAUAUUGGACAAUGGACCAAAAGUCUGAUCCAGCAAUUCUGUGUGCACGAUGAAGGUUUUCGGAUCGUAAAGUGCUUUCAGUUGGGAAGAAGAAAGUGACGGUACCAACAGAAGAAGCGACGGCUAAAUACGUGCCAGCAGCCGCGGUAAUACGUAUGUCGCAAGCGUUAUCCGGAUUUAUUGGGCGUAAAGCGCGUCUAGGCGGAUUCAUAAGUCUGAUGUUAAAAUGCGGGGCUCAACUCCGUAUUGCGUUGGAAACUGUGAAUCUAGAGUAUCAGAGAGGUGGGCGGAACUACAAGUGUAGAGGCGAAAUUCGUAGAUAUUUGUAGGAAUGCCGAUGGAGAAGUCAGCUCACUGGAUGAAUACUGACGCUAAAGCGCGAAAGCGUGGGUAGCAAACAGG
rnacentral:rRNA from 1 species